ACUGGAGUCUGCAACCCGACUCCACCGAAGUUGGAUUCGCUAGUAAUCGCGCAUCAGCCAUGGCGCGGUGAAUACGUUCCCGGGCCUUGUACACACCGCCCGUCAAGCCAUGGGAGCCGGGGGGCGCCUGAAGUCCGGGACCGCGAGGACCGGCCUAGGGCGAAACUGGUAACUGGGGCUAAGUCGUAACAAGGUACC
rnacentral:rRNA from 1 species